GACGAACGCUGGCGGCGUGCUUAACACAUGCAAGUCGAACGGAAAGGCCCUGCUUUUGUGGGGUGCUCGAGUGGCGAACGGGUGAGUAACACGUGAGUAACCUGCCCUUGACUUUGGGAUAACUUCAGGAAACUGGGGCUAAUACCGGAUAGGAGCUCCUGCUGCAUGGUGGGGGUUGGAAAGUUUCGGUGGUUGGGGAUGGACUCGCGGCUUAUCAGCUUGUUGGGGGGGUAGUGGAUUACCAAGGCUUUGACGGGUAGCCGGCCUGGGAGGGUGACCGGCCACAUUGGAACUGGGAUACGGCCCAGACUCCUACGGGAGGCAGCGGUGGAGAAUGUAGCACAAUGGGCGGAAGCCUGAUGCAACAACGCCGCGUGCGGGAUGACGGCCUUCGGGUUGUAAACCGCUUUCGCCUGUGACGAAGCGUGAGUGACGGUAAUGGGUAAAGAAGCACCGGCUAACUACGUG
rnacentral:rRNA from 1 species